AAAAACAACCGAAUUGCAGGUGCAUAACAGGGAAUCAGGUGCAAAUCCUGAACGGCACCCGCCACUGUCACGGAGAGCGGGAUACGUCACAACCCACCGUUGGAAGGCGUAUCCCACCGCGAUGAUCCGGAAGUCAGGAGACCUACCUGCAAUAUUCGGGCGAG
rnacentral:ncRNA from 2 species